GCGAGAUUAAAAUUUCACCCCGCUGGAAGUCACAGUUACGAGAACCCAAGACCUAAUCUGCUGGCAAAAAGAAAAUGGGAGUCUCGCCAUCUUGCCCAGGCUCAUUUCAAACUCCUGAGCACAAGCGAUCCUUCAUCUUGGCGUCCUGAACUGCUGGGAUUAAAGGCACAGUGGCUCAUAUCUGUACGACCAGCUACUUGGAAGAUUGAGGAGGGAGUAUCCCUUGAGUCCAGGAGUUCCGAUCAGAUUGAGCAAUAUAAAGAGACCCCGUCACAAAACAAAAUAAACAAGAAAAAAUUUAAUUUGUAUUUAUGGGGUGAGUAAAAAAU
rnacentral:lncRNA from 1 species